AACAUUUACAUCAAGAUUGCCAUGAGUAUUGUCCAAAACACCUGAUACUACCCGAGGACCGGACUUGUAUUCUAAAACUUUCUCUCCAGAAACUCCGAUUCCUGGAAGACCCUGAAGCCUACCUCCGUAGAUGACUCAAAGGUAUCAUCCUAUCUAAUGAGUUAGAAUAAAGCAGCAACUCAAAAUCUGGUGAAAACUCCAGAAGUCCUUUGAAGUCUACGACCAAG
rnacentral:lncRNA from 1 species